GUCCGCUGGCUCCACUCAGCUGGGUGUUGCUCCAGGACCUUGCUUUAGACAUGUAAGCUUCCCCCAUCCAGUAAGCCACUGUUGUGUCUGUUGCUGACUCUGAGCCCUUCAGUCUUGAAGCUGGGCACCUCCUCUUCUCCUGGGACACCUUCACCAACCCCUACUUUGAACCUCUCAAUCAAGCUGAUAAAAGUUACUUCAGCUGCUUCCAACCUCUCCUGCUAAGUGGGCCCUUAGAUGCUUCAGGAAAGUACUCAGACUUUCCAGGCAGACAAGAAAGGAGGAUGUGGCACGUCCCUCAAGGCCACCAAGCUCUGCGCCAAGGCCCACCCCACCUCAGUGAUGAAGGCUAUGACCUGUCAGCUGCUCUGAAAGCCUGACUCCAGGCUGGCACUUGACCUUACAGUGGUGAAUAGUGAGACUCAGUCUUUAAGGAUCAAAUAUUCACAGAAGGUGAAAACAGGUGUCAGUGACUUCAAAGGAGACCACGGACCUGAGGCAAAGAGCCCAGCAGGUACCAUUGGCUUGGUAUGAUUCCAAAGACUCAGAAGUGUCAGUGGACCAGCAGCAAUGUGGCUGGAAGUGAUCUCUACUCUGAUACAUGGUAGCCGAGGGACUUGGAGUAAACUCUGUCCCCAAGUCUCAGUUUCCUCACCUAAAAAACAUCUCCCUUGCAGGGCUGCUAUAGGGAUGAAAUAACAUCGAACAGGAUUUCAGUGCUUAUUUUGUGCCAGGCAUAACUCCAAGCAUCUGCAUCCAUUAAGUCAUUUAAUCCUCUCAACAAACCUCUGAAACAAGUAGUAUUAUGAUCCCCAUUCUGCACUGGAAGGAAAUGAGAAACAAAAGGGUAAGUAGAUAGCCCAAGGUCACCCAGAUAACUGAUAAUUACUCACAAAGCCACUUAGCACUGUGGAGCAGUGACUCUAAAUUGUUCACAUCAAUAGAGGAGACCAGCUUGAAGGGGGUGACGUGGUGAUGACAUUGGUGACAUCCCUCAGUCUAGGAUAAGAAAGGGCAGUUGGGCAAAGAUCACCCCCUGUCGUAGCACAGGGUAAUCUACUCAGUACUGUGUAAUAACUUGUAUGGGAAAAGAACCUCAAAAGG